GACGAACGCUGGCGGCGUGCUUAACACAUGCAAGUCGAACGGUGAAGCGCCUUCCUUUUUGGUGGGUGUGGAUGAGUGGCGAACGGGUGAGUAACACGUGAGUAACCUGCCCCCUUCUUCUGGAUAACCGCAUGAAAGUGUGGCUAAUACGGGAUAUUCUGGGUCUGUCGCAUGAUGGGUCUGGGAAAGAUAUUGUUUCGGUGGGUGAUGGGCUCGCGUCCUAUCAGCUUGUUGGUGGGGUGAUGGCCUACCAAGGCGGUGACGGGUAGCCGGCCUGAGAGGGUGGACGGUCACACAGGGACUGAGACACGGCCCAGACUCCUACGGGAGGCAGCAGUGGGGAAUAUUGCACAAUGGGCGCACGCCUGAUGCAGCGACGCCGCGUGAGGGAUGGAGGCCUUCGGGUUGUGAACCUCUUUCGCCAGUGAAGCAGGCCUGCCUCGUUUGUGGGUGGGUUGACGGUAGCUGGAUAAGAAGCGCGGGCUAACUACGUG
rnacentral:rRNA from 1 species